rnacentral:rRNA from 1 species
AAUAUUGCACAAUGGGGGAAACCCUGAUGCAGCGACGCCGCGUGGAGGAAGAAGGUCUUCGGAUUGUAAACUCCUGUUGUUGGGGAAGAUAAUGACGGUACCCAACAAGGAAGUGACGGCUAACUACGUGCCAGCAGCCGCGGUAAAACGUAGGUCACAAGCGUUGUCCGGAAUUACUGGGUGUAAAGGGAGCGCAGGCGGGAAGACAAGUUGGAAGUGAAAUCUAUGGGCUCAACCCAUAAACUGCUUUCAAAACUGUUUUUCUUGAGUAGUGCAGAGGUAGGCGGAAUUCCCGGUGUAGCGGUGGAAUGCGUAGAUAUCGGGAGGAACACCAGUGGCGAAGGCGGCCUACUGGGCACCAACUGACGCUGAGGCUCGAAAGUGUGGGUAGCAAACAGGAUUAGAUACCCUGGUAGUCCACACCGUAAACGAUGAUUACUAGGUGUUGGAGGAUUGACCCCUUCAGUGCCGCAGUUAACACAAUAAGUAAUCCACCUGGGGAGUACGACCGCAAGGUUGAAACUCAAAGGAAUUGACGGGGGCCCGCACAAGCAGUGGAGUAUGUGGUUUAAUUCGAAGCAACGCGAAGAACCUUACCAGGCCUUGACAUCCCGAUGACCGGUCUAGAGAUAGACCUUCUCUUCGGAGCAUCGGUGACAGGUGGUGCAUGGUUGUCGUCAGCUCGUGUCGUGAGAUGUUGGGUUAAGUCCCGCAACGAGC